ACUAAGAUUCCCUUAGUACGGCGAGUGACAGGGAUGAGCCCAGCACCGAAGCCUGUGGCCAUUUGGUUACUAGGCAAUGUGGUGUUUAGGUCGUUCCGCAGAGACACUGCUCCUCUCUAAGUCCAUCAAUGAGUACGGUUGUACUGACAUGGCCCAUGGAGGGUGAAAGGCCCGUAAGAGAGGAGUUUUGGUAUGACAGUGUCUCUCUGGAUUGACCUUGGAGUCGGGUUGUUUGGGAAUGCAGCCCUAAGCGGGUGGUAAACUCCAUCCAAGGCUAAAUACAAGCACGAGUCCGAUAGCGAACAAGUACCGUGAGGGAAAGUUGAAAAGUACUUUGAAGAGAGAGUAAACAGUGCGUGAAACCGCUUAGAGGUAAACGGGUGGAGUUGAACUGCAAUCUCUGAGAAUUCAGCUGGGGAAUUUUGCUUGAGCUUGGUCAAAUUGGGCAGGGCCUCGGGGUAUGCUUAUUUGCAUGUUCUGACCUUCGGGUUGGGAUGCGCGUUGCUCUUAUCAAGGGCUGCGCGCCUCGGGUGUCCGGCUGGCUCUGUCGCCAGUGCACUUUCUCGGAGUGAUCACCACGACCGGCGCUGCUGCUUGGCUGUUUUUGUUAAACCGAACGUUCAUCGUCCUUGUGGCGUUGGGUGGUCGGCACGGCAGGUAACUGGGGGCUUGCUUCGGCUUGCUGCUCGGUGUAUGUCGGCUUUAACGGUUCUAUGCGGUGUGUCGGAGACGGCGGCUAGUAGUGUGUGCGUGCGUAUCUAUCUGUUGGCAUAUUCUGGUUUGGUGACUGUGUGCUUGUUCAAGCAGGCCCAGUUAUGGCCGGGGUGUGUCAGUGGGUGGUUGCGUGUGUGGCACUUUUCAGGGCCAACAGUCUGUGGUGUUGUGGUAGACUAUCCACCUGACCCGUCUUGAAACACGGACCAAGGAGAGUAACAUGUGCGCGAGUCAUUGGGCGUAACGAAACCCACAGGCGCAGUGAAAGUAAAGGUCUGGCUUGUCCAGUCUAAGUGAGAUCCUGUCGUUGUUCAUGCGUGGUACCACCAAGCUUGGAGCGAUGGGCGCAUCACGGCCGUCCCAUGACGUGGUCACAGUCUUCGGAUUGUGCGCCGUGGGGCGGGGCAUGGAGCGUACAUGUUGAAGACCCGGA
rnacentral:rRNA from 1 species